AACGAACGCUGGCGGCAUGCCUAACACAUGCAAGUCGAACGAGACCUUCGGGUCUAGUGGCGCACGUGUGCGUAACGCGUGGGAACCUGCCCUUAGGUUCGGAAUAACUCCCCGAAAGGGGUGCUAAUACCGGAUAAUGUCUUCGGACCAAAGAUUUAUCGCCUUUGGAUGGGCCCGCGUUGGAUUAGCUAGUUGGUAGGGGAAAAGCCUACCAAGGCGAGGAUCCAUAGCUGGUCUGAGAGGAUGAUCAGCCACACUGGGCCUGAGACACGGACCAGACUCGUACGGGAGGCAGCAGUGGGGAAUAUUGGACAAGGGGCGAAAGCCUGAUCCAGCAAUGCCGCGUGAGUGAUGAAGGCCUUAGGGUUGUAAAGCUCUUUUACCCGGGAUGAUAAUGACAGUACCGGGAGAAUAAGCUCCGGCUAACUACGUG
rnacentral:rRNA from 1 species